UUAAGCGACUAAGCGUACACGGUGGAUGCCCUGGCAGUCAGAGGCGAUGAAGGACGUGCUAAUCUGCGAAAAGCGUCGGUAAGGUGAUAUGAACCGUUACAGCCGGCGAUGUCCGAAUGGGGAAACCCAGUGCAAUUCGUUGCACUAUCGUUAACUGAAUACAUAGGUUAACGAGGCGAACCGGGGGAACUGAAACAUCUAAGUACCCCGAGGAAAAGAAAUCAACCGAGAUUCCCCCAGUAGCGGCGAGCGAACGGGGAGCAGCCCAGAGUCUGAAUCAGCUUGUGUGUUAGUGGAACGGUCUGGAAAGUCCGACGGUACAGGGUGAUAGUCCCGUACACCAAAAUGCACAGGCUGUGAACUCGAAGAGUAGGGCGGGACACGUGGUAUCCUGUCUGAAUAUGGGGGGACCAUCCUCCAAGGCUAAAUACUCCUGACUGACCGAUAGUGAACCAGUACCGUGAGGGAAAGGCGAAAAGAACCCCGGCGAGGGGAGUGAAAAAGAACCUGAAACCGUGUACGUACAAGCAGUGGGAGCACCUUCGGGUGUGACUGCGUACCUUUUGUAUAAUGGGUCAGCGACUUAUAUUCUGUAGCAAGGUUAACCGUAUAGGGGAGCCGCAGGGAAACCGAGUCUUAACUGGGCGUUAAGUUGCAGGGUAUAGACCCGAAACCCGGUGAUCUAGCCAUGGGCAGGUUGAAGGUUGGGUAACACUAACUGGAGGACCGAACCGACUAAUGUUGAAAAAUUAGCGGAUGACUUGUGGCUGGGGGUGAAAGGCCAAUCAAACCGGGAGAUAGCUGGUUCUCCCCGAAAGCUAUUUAGGUAGCGCCUCGUGAACUCAUCUUCGGGGGUAGAGCACUGUUUCGGCUAGGGGGUCAUCCCGACUUACCAACCCGAUGCAAACUACGAAUACCGAAGAAUGUUAUCACGGGAGACACACGGCGGGUGCUAACGUCCGUCGUGAAGAGGGAAACAACCCAGACCGCCAGCUAAGGUCCCAAAGUCAUGGUUAAGUGGGAAACGAUGUGGGAAGGCACAGACAGCCAGGAUGUUGGCUUAGAAGCAGCCAUCAUUUAAAGAAAGCGUAAUAGCUCACUGGUCGAGUCGGCCUGCGCGGAAGAUGUAACGGGGCUAAACCAUGCACCGAAGCUGCGGCAGCGACACUAUGUGUUGUUGGGUAGGGGAGCGUUCUGUAAGCCUGCGAAGGUGUGCUGUGAGGCAUGCUGGAGGUAUCAGAAGUGCGAAUGCUGACAUAAGUAACGAUAAAGCGGGUGAAAAGCCCGCUCGCCGGAAGACCAAGGGUUCCUGUCCAACGUUAAUCGGGGCAGGGUGAGUCGACCCCUAAGGCGAGGCCGAAAGGCGUAGUCGAUGGGAAACAGGUUAAUAUUCCUGUACUUGGUGUUACUGCGAAGGGGGGACGGAGAAGGCUAUGUUAGCCGGGCGACGGUUGUCCCGGUUUAAGCAUGUAGGCUGAUUGUCCAGGCAAAUCCGGAUAAUCAAGGCUGAGGUGUGAUGACGAGGCACUACGGUGCUGAAGUAACAAAUGCCCUGCUUCCAGGAAAAGCCUCUAAGCAUCAGGUAACAUCAAAUCGUACCCCAAACCGACACAGGUGGUCAGGUAGAGAAUACCAAGGCGCUUGAGAGAACUCGGGUGAAGGAACUAGGCAAAAUGGUGCCGUAACUUCGGGAGAAGGCACGCUGGUGUGUAGGUGAAGUCCCUGCGGAUGGAGCUGAGACCAGUCGAAGAUACCAGCUGGCUGCAACUGUUUAUUAAAAACACAGCACUGUGCAAACACGAAAGUGGACGUAUACGGUGUGACGCCUGCCCGGUGCCGGAAGGUUAAUUGAUGGGGUUAUCCGUAAGGAGAAGCUCUUGAUCGAAGCCCCGGUAAACGGCGGCCGUAACUAUAACGGUCCUAAGGUAGCGAAAUUCCUUGUCGGGUAAGUUCCGACCUGCACGAAUGGCGUAAUGAUGGCCAGGCUGUCUCCACCCGAGACUCAGUGAAAUUGAACUCGCUGUGAAGAUGCAGUGUACCCGCGGCAAGACGGAAAGACCCCGUGAACCUUUACUAUAGCUUGACACUGAACAUUGAGCCUUGAUGUGUAGGAUAGGUGGGAGGCUUUGAAGCGUGGACGCCAGUCUGCGUGGAGCCAACCUUGAAAUACCACCCUUUAAUGUUUGAUGUUCUAACGUUGGCCCCUGACCGGGGUUGCGGACAGUGUCUGGUGGGUAGUUUGACUGGGGCGGUCUCCUCCCAAAGCGUAACGGAGGAGCACGAAGGUUAGCUAAUCCCUGGUCGGACAUCAGGAGGUUAGUGCAAUGGCAUAAGCUAGCUUGACUGCGAGCGUGACGGCGCGAGCAGGUGCGAAAGCAGGUCAUAGUGAUCCGGUGGUUCUGAAUGGAAGGGCCAUCGCUCAACGGAUAAAAGGUACUCCGGGGAUAACAGGCUGAUACCGCCCAAGAGUUCAUAUCGACGGCGGUGUUUGGCACCUCGAUGUCGGCUCAUCACAUCCUGGGGCUGAAGUAGGUCCCAAGGGUAUGGCUGUUCGCCAUUUAAAGUGGUACGCGAGCUGGGUUUAGAACGUCGUGAGACAGUUCGGUCCCUAUCUGCCGUGGGCGCUGGAGAAUUGAGGGGGGCUGCUCCUAGUACGAGAGGACCGGAGUGGACGCAUCACUGGUGUUCGGGUUGUCAUGCCAAUGGCACUGCCCGGUAGCUAAAUGCGGAAGAGAUAAGUGCUGAAAGCAUCUAAGCACGAAACUUGCCCCGAGAUGAGUUCUCCCUGAGACUAUAAGUCUCCUGAAGGAACGUUGAAGACGACGACGUUGAUAGGCCGGGUGUGUAAGCGCAGCGAUGCGUUGAGCUAACCGGUACUAAUGAACCGUGAGGCUUAACCU
rnacentral:rRNA from 1 species